rnacentral:rRNA from 1 species
UACGUAGGGCGCAAGCGUUGUCCGGAAUUAUUGGGCGUAAAGAGCUCGUAGGCGGUCUGUCACGUCGGAUGUGAAAACACGGGGCUCAACUCCGUGCCUGCAGUCGAUACGGGCAGGCUGGAGUUCGGUAGGGGAGACUGGAAUUCCUGGUGUAGCGGUGAAAUGCGCAGAUAUCAGGAGGAACACCGGUGGCGAAGGCGGGUCUCUGGGCCGAUACUGACGCUGAGGAGCGAAAGCGUGGGGAGCGAACAGG